rnacentral:tRNA from 1 species
ACUUAAAUAGUUUAAAUAAAAUAUUAAUUUGUGGAAUUAAAGAUAUAUAGUUUUAUUUUAAGUA